rnacentral:lncRNA from 1 species
CUGCGCUUGACUUCCUCUCCUCUUCUUCGUCCUCGGCUGAUUCCUCUGUAAGGCCGAGCUGCGGCGGCGGCGUCUGAAAGAGGAGAGUCGUUGUUGGAGUUGGGUUAAACCUUCACACAUGGGUGAGAGUGCAUUCUUUGGCACCUGACGUCUCUGUAUUUCACAUGACAGACACUCUAUUAAAGGUGGGGGAUCCUGUAAUGGACUAUGCAUCAGCUCAGGUAAUGGCUGUCAGGCUGAGAGGCAGCAGAGGAUUCCAUUAGAAACCUCAGAGUUACUAAAUCACUCACUCUCCUCCUUCCUCUCCUUCCUUCCUCCCUUCCUGCCUCCUCCUCCUCCUCCUCUUCAGAGCAAUUACUACAGCUUCAUACAGCGUUCAGCCAUGAAUUCGGACCCAGUCCUUGGACCGGUGUCUGCUGGACUGAGACCACAUUAGAUGGUGGAUAGAUGAAGCUGCAGGGCUGUGUAUCAGGAGAGAGACUGGACUGAUGGAGCUCAUUGUUGUCCAUGAAGCUCUUUUGGGUUUAAAUGUUUCCUCUGGGAUUAGGAGGCGUGUUUUUUCUUUUCAAUGUGCAUUAUUUGACCAGAAAGAAACGUUUUAGUCAUGUUUAAACCUGCUGCUGGAAGAUUUAAGUGUCUGUGUCUGCAAACUCGGUCAUUCAUGAAACCUACAAGUCAAAGGUAAAGCUGCUGCGAAGGGGUUGAAUCAUAGACUGUAUGUAGAAUGGACAGAGUCUGCCUCCUCGCUGGGUGAGAACAGCGCCCUCUGGUGACGGGCUGCAGUAUAGGUCAUAAACCCCGCCUCUUUUUUCUGUACAGCUCUGUUUUUAAAAGUUAUUAGGGGGUUCAUGUUUUCUAUGAUUGACACCUGAUACAGCCUAUGGGCUCACCCUGGGGGAUACGCUGUUUGAGCCGAGCGUCAUCACAGUGACUCUCGGCGACUGUGCAAUGUUGGUUUCAGGAAAUGGAGAAAAAUCCUGGAAAUACUGAGAACUUUUCUGCUUCAAAUCUGUAUACUGGUGGGAGGUGGAACAAAGUUGUCCAUAGUAGAUACAGUCUUUGGUCUGUACCCUCGUAGCUCCAACAUGCAGACAGCAGAGGUGCAGGAGAAAGAAGUUAAAACUUGGACAUGCAGAGCUAUUUUGGUGCAAACAUCUACCAGCAAAGUGCAGCGGUGCGCAAGCCUCUGUGAUUUACCGUUGAGCUCCUGGUGAGUGUUAAUUUCAGAGCCUGAAAUGGAUGAAACUGACCUUCAUAUAGCAUAAGAAUAAAACAGCAGCUAACAUGCUGAGUAUGGCUCGCCUCAGAUGAUUCUGUAAACUUUCAGGUUGGUUGAUGAUUGUAAAGCUGUGUAAAAAGUAACACCUCUAAGCCGUGUUGAACCUUCCAUCAGAGGAGAAGCAGCUGAAACAGUUUUUUUUUCACAGAUAAGAUAAAAAAGAGUUUAUGAGCUGCAAAGACAGAGCUGCCAAACAUCACGCUUUGAGUGUGACAGUCACACCACAUGCCACACGUGACAUUUCUCACGCCUAAAUUCCCCUGUUCAAUCCUCUGUAUUUGUUUUUUUCAUGAUAAUAAACUUGACAUGCUGUAGUUCGAGUAACUGGAGUAACUCUGUUGGAUUUGUCAAAAUUCUUGUUACAAUUUUCUAAUUUCUGGUUUUAGGAAGAGCAGCAGGCAUGGAGGUGAGGACAUCAGUCUGAAGGUAGGCCAUAGUUUUUUAACACACGAUAACGCUGAAGUCUCACUCUUGUCCUUUUCUGAAACUUGGCAGCCCUGCAAAGAUCAUGUAGGUAAACGUGUCGAGACUGAUGUAGUGACAGGUGGACAUGAGUGUACGGUGUCUUUACUGCUGAGUCUCUUCAGGAGGAUGAGGACGGCUCUGCAGACCUUCAGGUGACAGAGGAGGACCUGCAGGCAGCUGAGG